GUAAUUUAUCGCAAGUACAUGUAGUGGGAUUCUAAUUUAGGCCAGUUUAAUCAAUAAUUAAAUAAAAGGGCGAUAUGAUAUUUUAAACACGACUAUUAUAUUGGUAUCAUGAUAAUUAUAUGGGGAUUCACCAAUCAGAAUGAUCCACGCUGUGAUGUCACGGCCGUGUUUACCAGCCCCCCAACGCCGCCAUUGUGGUGCAGCUCUCUCACAAUUAACAGCUGAGCGUGUGAAUGUCACUCCCGGCAAUUACACCGGCUAUCCUAAAGGCUCUCCCAGCAUUGAUUCAGCUUGUCCAUCACAUGUUUUGUUAGCAAGUAUCUUUCUUCAGAAUUGUUUGGUUACAAUGACUGGGUCACAAAACUCUUACAGAAAAGAUCAUCAAAUAACUGGCAGAUAAAUAGUGUUGAAAUAGCAGGUGGUCGUGAUCCUGGUAUACCUGCUCAUGAUAUCGUACAUCAAGAACGAAUGGCAGAAGUCAUCAUCAUGAAAAUGGAGAUAAAGAUGUCCUACAUAACAUUAUGCAACAGUCAUCUACUUUAAAAGCAACACCUGAUGUAUACUUAGAUGAUGAUGAUGCUGCAAUACUUGAUCUAAAUCCAGAUGAUGAUGAUGUCCUAUCUAAAGAACCAGCAGGUGAAGUCAUCAUCUGUGAAACUACAGAUAAAGUUUGCUGUAUGUAGCAGUAAUUAUUUCUCAAAGGAACACCUGAGUCACACCCAGGCCACACCUAUCACUCAUCUUCCUAGAUUACUACAAACUUUGGUGAACACUAGAUGAUGGGACACAAAUGAAUCAGACUGUUGUUCAUGCUGAAUGCCAAACACAUGAAAUGUGUUUCAGUGACAGUGCAGCAACCAGAGACAAGAUGUUUCAUCAAACAUUUAAGGAGAAAGUUCUGCUGAGUGACAAGUCUGUUAAGAGGUGUACAGCUUUGUCAUCUAGAAAAAUGCUAUGUGGCAUAUCAUUCAGAUAUUGAUAUUAUUCAGAAAAAAAAAAAAUGUGAAAAUUAAUUAUUGGAAAGGUCCCAAAAUAGUUCCAGGAAAGUCAAAACAGAGCUAACAAGGCAGAUCAAAAAGAAGCUCUCAAUUUGAUGAAUAUUUGAUAACUUUGAUAUAUAUUAGAGAAGCUUUAGAAAUGGAGAUCCUUGCUGAUUUGUUUGGAGUUAGCCAAAGUCAAGUUAGCUGUAUCAUAACAACACAGCCUCACUCACACUGAGAUUAUUAUAUUAGGGUGGAGCCUCCAGCUUCUCACUUAGCAUAUUAGGGUGGAGCUUACAGCUUCACACUUUACCAUUUAGCAUUGUGAUGGCUGUCUCCAGUGCUAAAAAGGGAAAAGAAAUAAUCAGUGUAGUAUUAAAUCAUGAAAUGAUAUCUCAGAAAUUUCUGCAUAUAACAGUAGUGGCAGUUAUGUACACAAAAGGUUACCCAUCACUUAUGUGAAAUGUACAGAGCUUCCAUCAAUGUUAAAAACCCUCAAAGGUUUGGAAGAAUUGUGUGACUUGUCUCAAGUACAUGGCAUAUAUGUAGGUGUUGGCUGCUGGUCAGAGACACAAACUUCAUUUCUAUGUAUGAAGUUGGCCACAGCGUACAUUAAUGCCUCAACAUGCUUGCAGCUUCCAUCAUCUCUGAAAUCAUAUUACCAUAUAUUACUAUAAAUAUUAUAUGAAAUUUGUCACAAUCGCAUACUUGACUUGAAUAUAAUUCUUACUCACGUCUUGUACAGGGUGUUUAAAAAAAAUGUGUACAAAAUUAAAUGGGUGAUAGGGAACACCAAAAUAAAUGCUUUAUACUUUGAUGCUGCAGGGAAGACAGUUUCAAUGUAAUUUCCCUAAGUUUUUUACCUUACUUCUCCAUGAAUAAUCUGUUUACAUACAAACAUAGUAAUUUAAUGCAUGCAACAGUAAGAAGAUUACAAAUAUCAGUACAAUGAAAAAAUGAGAGAACAUUAAAUUGAAGAGAAGAUUAACAAUUAUUAAUCAGUCAGCUGUUUACUGAACAAAGGUGACUUACGUCAGCACCAAGAAGUGAACCAUUAGUAGGCAAUGAAAUACUGUAUGGUGGGCUUAAAAGUAAUUAAUAUAUUACAUUAAUAACUUUGACAUGCCAACAUUGUAAUUUAAAGGUGGUGCUCAGUAAUUAUUCAAUAAUUGCAGUGUUUGCAGACACAAGAAAACUGUAAAUUGAAAAGAACAUGCACAAAAUACUCCAAUCUGAGUAAGAGCUCCAAAACAAUGCAACAAGAUAUUUCAGUUUUACAGAAACUGUUCAAAGAUAUGACCACUAAUGUGUAUGCAUGCACAGCAGCGCCAUAGCAUUGCUUCACUUAUAAGUUUAAAGUUUGCUGGCUCCUCUGCAAUUCUCCCAGUGGUGUCAACAAUUCUUACAACAAGGUCUUGUUCAAAUUCAAUGGGUGUUUCAUACACAAGGUGGUGUUUCAUACACUCUUCAUGUGUCCCAUAGGAAUAAGUAAAUUGAUUUUCAAAUCAGGGGAUCUUGGUGGCAAGGCAACAUCACCACCAUGGCCAAUCCAUUGAUCUGGAAACGUUGCAUUUAAAUAUACCCGCACCUUGUUACCAAAAAGUGCUGGAGCUCCAUUGUGUUGGAACCAUAUUCUGCAGAUUACCAAAGGGAACAUCUUCCAGCAGUUGAGGCAACAUUUCCUCAAGAAAAAUCUGAUAAAUGUUACCUUUGAGACAUGGAGGCAGAACGUAUGGACCAGUUAACUUAUGAAUGAUAGCCACCAAAACAUCAAUGCUGAACUGCAUCUGAUGUCCAUGUUCGUGUGAAGUAUGUGGAUUUGUUGCUGCCCAGACAUGAGCAUUGUGCAUAUUGAACACACCAUCAUGGGCAAAGGAGCCUUCAUCAGAAAACAGCACACUCAAAAGGAAAAUCAGGUUAGACCACUGUCUGUUGCAAGUACCACUGCAAAUUCUACAUGUAUGGGAUAAUCCUGAGGAAGUAAUGCAUAAACUGUGUAGAUGAUAUGGAUGUAGCCAUUCGUUAUGUAACAUCUGAACCAUAGCAUGAGAUACUCUGAGAGUAUGUCCAGUAUAUCGCAUACUUGCAUGUGGCAGAUUUGUGAACAUUUUUAUUACAUUUUCUUCCACUUUUGGUGUUUGCACACACCUAGGGUGACCAUUGUCAUGUGUAUUGGCAAUGAGUGUUCUCCUUUCAUGCAGUUGCCUGUGGAUCAAGGAAAAUGUCUUAUGGUUUGGCAAGAGUCUGUUUGUGAAAUGCCUCUGGUACAUCUUCACAGCAUUUAUGGCAUUUCCUCCAGCAGCACCAUACACAAUGCACAUGUCAACCAGUUCAGCAAAUGUGAAGCCCUCCAUGUUACAUGUAUGGAGUUAACCUCAAGACUAAGAGGAGAGUGUAGGUUCCCAUAUUGUGAUGGUAUGAAUCUUCUGUAGAAACUAAUGUUUGUCAACCUGCUAAGUCUGUCCAGGUAAGUAUUGUAGGUGAGUAUAUAUCCAAGGGAAAUAUAGCUAGUAAGUUUUGAUAUAGUUAUAUAGGUAGUUGUUUAAAUUACUAGUUAUGUUGGGGUGGUAUUAUACUGCAGGCUUGUAGGCUGCUUGUGUAGUCCUGGUGGAAUCUUAAAAUAUUGUGGUGGUUUUCUUUUAGUUUCUGGUAAGCAGGAGUGUCAAGUUCUUCCAAUCUGUCCUAUAUUUUCUGUGCUCUAUUGUGUAGUCUGAUGUUCAAUAGUGUAGUGUUGGUGUGUGUAUGUAUUUGUAUUGUGUAGGGGUGUUUUUGGUUUGUGGUAAAUCUGAGAGCUCUAUUUUGAAUUUUCUGCAAUUUACUGAUUUGAGUGUUGCUUAUAGUAUAGGGAUAGGUGGGUAAUCUAGAAUUAGGAAAAUUAGAGCUUUAACUAGAUGUAUUUUUAUGUUUUCAGGCAUAUUGUAUAGUUUGUAAAGUUUCUUUUAGAGCUGCAGAUGCCUUAUUAUGCCUGUCUUCUAUUUGUUUAUAAUAACCUGAACUUGUAAUAUUUAAACCCAAACAUUAUUUCCCAUUAUUUUGAAAUUCAAUUAAGUCGACAUUUAUAUUCAGCGGUAAUGUUUUCUUUGCUCCUAGAUGAACUGGUGUAAAUUUGUUCAAGUUGGUUUUAAUUUUCCAUAUUUUUUCAUAGGUGUAAAUUGUUUCUAUUUCUCUUAUUGUUUGUAAAUUCAUCAUAUUUUUUUAUUUCUCUGGGUACCCAAUGACUUGUGUAAAAUCAUCUGCGUAGCUGAUGUUUAAAUUCCUAUUUGAGUUUUCUAGAUCGUUGGUGUAUAUAGGGUGUAAUGCGAGUUUUUGCAAAUACUGAAAGAGGUGAAAGAACGUGUAAUUCUAAGUAGAAAAUGUUCUAUACACAUAUGCACUUUAAGGCUUUGUUUACCCAUCUGAGAUUGGAGUAAGCAGCAUUAGUGUGCUUGCUGAGUUUGAAAAAGGAUACAAGAAAGUUAGAAAGAUUCCAGAGAGCUGCAACUAAAAUCCCUGCAAGCUUAAGAGAGGAAAGGAUGAAGAAAUUGGACCUGACUUCACUAGAAAAAAGAAGGGAAAGAGGUGAUUUGAUAGCAAUAUAUAGAAUAUUGGAAGAAAUGGAAAAGUUGGACAGAGAAGACUUCAUGAUACCAGAUACAAGAGACACAAGAGGACAUGGAAGGAAAUUGAAAAGGAGUGUCUGCAGAAGAGACAUCAAGAAACAUAGUUUCCCCCCACAUAAGUAUAACAGUGUGGAAUGAACUUAAGGAUGAGACUGUGUGUGCAAAAACAAUUCAUAAAUUUAAAGAAAAUCUAGAUAAAAGUUGAUAUGAAGACGGGAUGGCACGAGCCUAGUGUGGCUCUUGUCCUGUAUUUCACAACUAGGUAAAAAACUAGGUAAACACACACACACACACACACACACACACACACACACACACACACACACACACACACACACACACACACAGAAAAGUUUUUCUGGAGAGUAAGAGAUAUGAGAAUAAAGAAAUGGUACGUCAAACAGUCAGUAAAGUAUGUUAUACUAAUGUAAAUGGAUUAAUGUCAAUGAAGAUGGAAAUAAAUGAGUUAUUAAACAGAACCGCACUGGAUGUUCUUGUAUUAUGUGAGAAAAAAUGGAAAAAUGAAUAGGGAACUCCUGACAUUGAUGAUAAAUAUGAUUUAUGGACGAGAAAUAGAAGUGACAAGGGAAGAGGUGGAGUGAUCUUUCUGACUAAAAAAAAAUGUGAUAAAGUGGAGAAGGUAAUAAAAAGUGAAGACAAGUCUGAAAUUAUACAAUGGAAGGAUAAUGAAUUAUGUAGAAGUGUAUGUGCCACCUAUGACCAAUGCUUGGUGAAAAGAAGAGCAUGAAGAGAUGUUAUUAGGUGUGUUAAAAGGUCUUGAAAUGAUAGUGAUGAAAAGUAAUGAUAUUGUUGGUGAUUUUAAUUGCAAGGAGAUAAAUUGGGAGACAUUGACAACUACUGGAAGUGAGAACUCAUGGAGUAAUAGACUCUUAAACUGGGUGGUCGAAAACCUGAUUACUCAGUGGGUUGAUUGUGAUACCAGAUUUAGUGGAAGAGAUAAACCAUCAAGACUUGAUUUGGUGUUUAUCAAGGACAUAGAAAUUAUGGAACCUAUAUCUUAUGAUAGUCCUCUAGGUAAAAGUGAUUAUGUGUUGAUGGAAUUUAAUUUGAAAAACAUAAAUGUAAUCAUUGAUGAAAACUAUAAGAUAAGAAGAUUUAAAUAUAGUAAAGCUGAUUUUGAAAAAUCAAGGAAGUACUUUGUUACUGUGGACUGGAAAGACUUUGAUCAUGCAGAAGAUGUUCAGGAAAAAUGGGAUGAAUUUAUAAGGAUAUAUAAUACUGCUGUGGAGAAAUUUGUACCUAGAGGAGGAGCAAGAUCUAGAAAGGGUAAGGAAUGGUUCAAUACAAAAUGAAAAAAAGGCUAGAAAUUGUAAAUUAAAUGCUUGAAAUAGACGGAAGAAAAGGAAAACUGAGAACAGAUGGAAGGAAUAUAUUGAUGCUAGAAAUUAAUACGUUGUGAUAAUAAGAAUGGAGAGAAGAAACUAUGAAAGAGAUAUAAUACAGUAUAAGUGUAUUAAUGAACCAAAACUAUUCUUUAGACAUAUUAAUGGGAAGAUGAAGAGAGAAGGUGGGUGUAUCAAGAGUGAAAGUUGAAGGAAAAGUCUAUGAGGAUGCACAGGACAUGGCAGAGGUUAUGAACAAAAGUUUCAGAUUGGUAUUUACUGUGGGAGGGGAGUUUGAUGCUGGAAGGGAUAAUUUGGUGAGGAAUAUACAAGUAGUCUCAGUCAGUUAUGAUAAAAUACUUAUGGUGAAAGACCUUGAUGUAAAUAAAGCAUCUGAUCCAGAUGGAGUAUCAGAUUGGUUAUUAAAAGAAUGCAGAGAACAACUGGCUAAUAAAAUUCACAGUAUGGUGAUGACAUCAUUAUUGCUGGGAAGAGUACCAAAAGAUUAGAAGAGAGCAAAUAUUUCACCAAUAUUCAAAGGAGGAAAUAAGGAAACCCCACUAAAUUAUAGACCAGUGUGAUUGACCAAUGUUGUAGGAAAACUAUGUGAAAGAACAAUAAAGGAAAGAUGGAUGGAAAACUUGAAGAGAUAAAGGUUUGGUAAAUUGUCAAUUUGGAUUUAGAAGGGGAAGAUCAUGCUCCAUGAACUUAUUGUCCUUUUAUUCAAAGGUAGUUGAUAUUGUGCAGGAGAGAGAGAGAUGGAUGGAUGGUGUCCACUUAGACUUGAAGAAGGCUUUUGACAAAGUACCACACCGAAGAUUGCUAUGGAAGAUUGAAAAUUAUGUAAGAAUUGGAGGAAGACUGAUGUGGAUGGAGGAAUAUCUGGAUAAUAGAGAGAUGAAAACUAAUACAAGACCAAAAUUCAUCUUGGCUGAAAGUAACUAGUGGUGUCCCACAGGGGUCAGUGUUGGGACUGAUAAUGUUUGUGAUAUGUGUAAAUGACAUGAAUGAAGAAAUAGAUAGCUAUAUGAACUUAUUUGCAGAUGAUGCUAAGCUGAUGAAAAGGGUAGAAAAUGUAAAUGACUGUGAUACUGCAAGAUGAUUUAAAUAAGAUAAAUAGAUGAAGUAAAUCUUGCCCAAUGGAAUUGAGUUUAAGUAAAUGUAAAGUAAUGGAGUUUGGUAAGAAUAAAAAAAGAAUGCAAUAUCAUUAUGAGAUGGUAUGAAGUUAAAGAAAUCAAAAGAAGAAAUGGAUUUGGGAGUAACAACUACUGAAAGUUUGAUUCCAGACAGACACAUUGAUAAAAUUACUGGAGAGAUGAUGAAUUCUUUAAAAAGAGUGAGAAUGGUAUUCUCAUAUUUGGAUGAAGGAAUUAUAAAGAAGUUGUUGAUUUCCAUGAUAAGACCAAAAUUGGAAUAUGCGGCAGUGGUGCAGUUUUCUCGUACAAAGAGGAAUAUUAUAAAAUUAGAAAGAGUACAAAGAGCAGUCACUAAGGUGGUUCUGGAGUUGAGUAAUUCAACCUAUGAAGAGAGAUUAAGAAUGUUGGAAAUUCCUACCCUUGAAAAUAAGAGAGAGAGAGAGAGAGAGAGAGAGAGAGAGAGAGAGAGAGAGAGAGAGAGAGAGAGAGAGAGAGAGAGA